CCUACGGGAGGCAGCAGUGGGGGAUAUUGCACAAUGGGGGGAACCCUGAUGCAGCGACGCCGCGUGAGCGAAGAAGUACCUCGGUAUGUAAAGCUCUAUUAGCAGGGAAGAAAAUGACGGUACCUGACUAAGAAGCCCCGGCUAAAUACGUGCCAGCAGCCGCGGUACUACGUAGGGGGCAAGCGUUAGCCGGAUUUACUGGGUGGAAAGGGAGCGUAGACGGCAGCGCAAGUCUGGAGUGAAAUGCCGGGGGCCAACCCCGGAACUGCUCUGGAAACUGUGAAGCUGGAGUGCAGAAGAGGUAAGCGGAAUUCCAUGUGUAGCGGUGAAAUGCGUAGAUAUCAGGAGGAACACCGGCGGCGAAGGCGGCUUACUGGACUGUAACUGACGUUGAGGCUCGAAGGCGUGGGGAGCGAACAGGAUUAGAUACCCCAGUAGUC
rnacentral:rRNA from 1 species